rnacentral:rRNA from 1 species
AGUGAACGCUGGCGGCGUGCCUAAUACAUGCAAGUCGAGCGGAGCGGCGGACGGGUGAGUAAUGCCUGGGAAUCUGCCUGGUAGUGGGGGAUAACGUCCGGAAACGGGGGCUAAUACCGCAUACUAUCAGAUGAGCCUAGGUCGGAUUAGCUAGUUGGUGUGGUAAAGGCCUACCAAGGCGACGAUCCGUAACUGGUCUGAGAGGAUGAUCAGUCACACGUGAACUGGGACACGGUCCAGACUCCUACUGGAGGCAGCAGUGGGUAAUAGUGGACAAUGGGCGAAAGCCUGAUCCAGCCAUGCCGCGUGUGUGAAGAAGGUCUUCGGAUUGUAAAGCACUUUAAGUUGGGAGGCGUUACCAACAGAAUAAGCACCGGCUAACUUCGUGCCAGCAGCCGCGGUAAUUC